GCUUCUAGAGAAAAAUAAUGAGGGGUGUCACGGGAUAUGACUAUAUAGGUCUUGUAGAGGAGAAACAGGCGCAUCUUUUGCGCAAGGUAUCGAAGGGCGCUAUGUUAAAAAAUCAGAAACUAGAGCUCAAAAUUAAAAAAAAAAUGUUAAAAAUAGGGGGGUUGGCUUAUUCCAUGGCUUCUAGAGAAAAAUAAUGAGGGGUGUCACGGGAUAUGACUAUAUAGGUCUUGUAGAGGAGAAACAGGCGCAUCUUUUGCGCAAGGUAUCGAAGGGCGCUAUGUUCAAAAAUGUGAAACUAGAGCUCAAAAUUUAAAAAAAAAAAUGUUAAAAACAGGGGGGUUGGCCUAUUCCAUGGCUUCUAGAGAAAAAUAAUAUGGGGUGUCACGGGGUAUGACUAUAUAGGUCUUGUAGAGGAGAAACAGGCGCAUCUUUUGCGCAAGGUAUCGAAGGGCACUAUGUUAAAAAAUCUGAAACUAGAGCUCAAAAUUUAAAAAAAAAAAAGUUAAAAACAGGGGGGUUGGCCUAUUCCAUGGCUUCUAGAGAAAAAUAAUGAGGGGUGUCACGGGGUAUGACUAUAUAGGUCUUGUAGAGGAGAAACAGGCGCAUCUUUUGCGCAAGGUAUUGAAGGGCGCUAUGUUCAAAAAUCUGAAACUAGAGCUCAAAAUUUAAAAAAAAAAAAUGUUAAAAACAGAGGGGUUGGCCUAUUCCAUGGCUUCUAGAGAAAAAUAAUGAGGGGUGUCACGGGGUAUGACUAUAUAGGUCUUGUAGAGGAGAAACAGGCGCAUCUUUUGUGCAAGGUAUCGAAGGGCGCUAUGUUCAAAAAUCUGAAACUAGAGCUCAAAAUGUUAAAAAAAAUGUUAAAAACAGGGGGGUUGGCCUAUUCCAUGGCUUCUAGAGAAAAAUAAUGAGGGGUGUCACGGGGUAUGACUAUAUAGGUCUUGUAGAGGAGAAACAGGCGCAUCUUUUGCGCAAGGUAUUGAAGGGCGCUAUGUUCAAAAAUCUGAAACUAGAGCUCAAAAUUAAAAAAAAAAAAUGUUAAAAACAGGGGGUUGGCCUAUUCCAUGGCUUCUAGAGAAAAAUAAUGAGGGGUGUCACGGGGUAUGACUAUAUAGGUCUUGUAGAGGAGAAACAGGCGCAUAUUUUGCGCAAGGUAUCGAAGGGCGCUAUGUUAAAAAAUCUGAAACUAGAGCUCAAAAUUAAAAAAAAAAAAAGUUAAAAACAGGGGGGUUGUCCUAUUCCAUGGUUUCUAGAGAAAAUAAUGAGGGGUGUCACGGGAUAUGACUAUAUAGGUCUUGUAGAGGAGAAACAGGCGCAUCUUUUGUGCAAGGUAUCGAAGGGCGCUAUGUUCAAAAAUCUGAAACUAGAGCUCAAAAUUAAAAAAAAAAAUGUUAAAAACAGGGGGGUUGGCCUAUUCCAUGGCUUCUAGAGAAAAAUAAUGAGAGGUGUCACGGGGUAUGAUUAUAUAGGUCUUGAAAAGGAGAAACAGGCGCAUCUUUUGCGCAAGGCAUCGAAGGGCGCUAUGUUCAAAAAUCUGAAACUAGAGCUCAAAAUUAAAAAAAAAUAUGUUAAAAACAGGGGGGUUGGCCUAUUCCAUGGCUUCUAGAGAAAAAUAAUGAGGGGUGUCACGGGGUAUGACUAUAUAGGUCUUGUAGAGGAGAAACAGGCGCAUCUUUUGUGCAAGGUAUCGAAGGGCGCUAUGUUCAAAAAUCUGAAACUAGAGCUCAAAAUUUAAAAAAAAAAAUGUUAAAAACAGGGGGUUGGCUUAUUCCAUGGCUUCUAGAGAAAAAUAAUGAGGGGUGUCACGGGGUAUGACUAUAAAGGUCUUGUAGAGGAGAAACAGGCGCAUCUUUUGCGCAAGGUAUCGAAGGGCGCUAUGUUAAAAAAUCAGAAACUAGAGCUCAAAAUUAAAAAAAAAAUGUUAAAAAUAGGGGGGUUGGCCUAUUCCAUGGCUUCUAGAGAAAAAUAAUGAGGGGUGUCACGGAAUAUGACUAUAUAGGUCUUGUAGAGGAGAAACAGGCGCAUCUUUUGCGCAAGGUAUCGAAGGGCACUAUGUUCAAAAAUCUGAAACUAGAGCUCAAAAAUUAAAAAAAAAAUGUUAAAAACAGGGGGUUGGCCUAUUCCAUGGCUUCUAAAGAAAAAUAAUGAGGGGUGUCACGGGGUAUGACUAUAUAGGUUUUGUAGAGGAGAAACAGGCGCAUCUUUUGCGCAAAGUAUCGAAGGGCGCUAUGUUCAAAAAUCUGAAUCUAGAGCUCAAAAUUAAAAAAAAAAUGUUAAAAACAGGGGAAUUGGCCUAUUCCAUGGCUUCUAGAGAAAAACAAUGAGGAGUGUCACGGGGUAUGACUAUAUAGGUCUUGUAGAGGAGAAACAGGCGCAUCUUUUGUGCAAGGUAUCGAAGGGCGCUAUGUUCAAAAAUCUGAAACUAGAGCUCAAAAUUUAAAAAAAAAAUGUUAAAAACAGGGGGGUUGGCCUAUUCCAUGGCUUCUAGAGAAAAAUAAUGAGGGAUGUCACGGGGUAUGACUAUAUAGGUCUUGUAUAAGAGAAAUAGGCGCAUCUUUUGCGCAAGGUAUCGAAGGGCGCUAUGUUCAAAAAUCUGAAACUAGAGCUCAAAAUUUAAAAAAAAAAUG